rnacentral:rRNA from 1 species
UACGUAGGGGGCAAGCGUUGUCCGGAAUCAUUGGGCGUAAAGAGCGUGUAGGCGGCCCGAUGAGUCCGCCGUGAAAGUCCAGGGCUCAACCCUGGAAUGCCGGUGGAUACUGUCGAGCUCGAGUCCGGAAGAGGCGAGUGGAAUUCCUGGUGUAGCGGUGAAAUGCGCAGAUAUCAGGAGGAACACCAAUGGCGAAGGCAGCUCGCUGGGACGUGACUGACGCUGAGACGCGAAAGCGUGGGGAGCGAACAGG